rnacentral:sRNA from 12 species
AGAGAGGUUUCGUAAAACCUGGUGACUUUGGCCGUCCGGAGGAUGGUCCUAGCUGCUUCUGAAAUGAAGCGGGUCAGAAUGAAAUCGGAGCCCAGGGUGAGCCCUCA